UGGACCUGCCCAGGACCUGGGGGAACUCCUUGCCAUGAAGGGAAGUAAACUGUCCUGGUUGGCCUUGCCACUUGCUGAGUAUAGGAACCCAAGGCCUUGAGUGAACAUAGGCGGUAGCCAGGGAAUGGUUAAAUCAGGCCUUGGGUGAGACUCAGUGCUGUGCUGGCAUCAGGUCUGAACCAGUGCAGUCCUAGUCGUGGUGGCCACAGAAGUGAUUUUGUCACUCCACCCCCAAAACAAGUAUUUAAACAUUUUUUUAAAAAACCUGAAAUAAUAUCAAGUAACUUCUCUUACUACAAUGGAACAACACUAGAAAUCAAUAACAAGAGGAAUUUUGGAAGCUAUACAAACACAUGGAAUUAAAUAAUAUGCUUCUGAAUGACUAGUGGGUCGAUGAAUAAAUUAAGA
rnacentral:lncRNA from 1 species